rnacentral:lncRNA from 1 species
GUGUUCCAUGUUUUAUUAUGAAUCUGUGUGCUUUCCUCUGCUUUCCUCUGUUUUAUAAUACUUAUGGGUGCCGUAUGUAUGUUAUGUAAUCUGCUUCUGUGCUUUACUAUGUGUUUGUGUGGUAUCUCGUGCCUUGAGUCGGGGGUCUUUCGGAAACAGCCUUUCUACUUCAUCAGAGGUAGAGGUAUGGACUGCGUACAUCUUACCCCCC